ACGGGUUAGUGGCGGACGGGUGAGUAACGCGUGAGAAUCUGCCCUCAGGAGGGGGAUAACGGUUGGAAACGACCGCUAAUACCCCAUAUGCCGCGAGGUGAAAUGAAUUUCGCCUGAGGAUGAGCUCGCGUCUGAUUAGCUAGUUGGUGGGGUAAGAGCCUACCAAGGCUUCGAUCAGUAGCUGGUCUGAGAGGAUGAUCAGCCACACUGGGACUGAGACACGGCCCAGACUCCUACGGGAGGCAGCAGUGGGGAAUUUUCCGCAAUGGGCGAAAGCCUGACGGAGCAACGCCGCGUGAGGGAUGAAGGCCUCUGGGCUGUAAACCUCUUUUAUCAAGGAAGAAGAUCUGACGGUACUUGAUGAAUAAGCCACGGCUAAUUCCGUGCCAGCAGCCGCGGUAAUACGGGAGUGGCAAGCGUUAUCCGGAAUUAUUGGGCGUAAAGCGUCCGCAGGCGGUCUUACAAGUCUGUCGUUAAAGCGUGGAGCUUAACUCCAUUUCGGCGAUGGAAACUGUAAGACUAGAGUGUGGUAGGGGCAGAGGGAAUUCCCGGUGUAGCGGUGAAAUGCGUAGAUAUCGGGAAGAACACCAGUGGCGAAGGCGCUCUGCUGGGCCAUAACUGACGCUCAUGGACGAAAGCUAGGGGAGCGAAAGGGAUUAGAUACCCCUGUAGUCCUAGCCGUAAACGAUGAACACUAGGUGUCGGGGGAAUCGACCCCCUCGGUGUCGUAGCCAACGCGUUAAGUGUUCCGCCUGGGGAGUACGCACGCAAGUGUGAAACUCAAAGGAAUUGACGGGGGCCCGCACAAGCGGUGGAGUAUGUGGUUUAAUUCGAUGCAACGCGAAGAACCUUACCAGGGUUUGACAUCCUGCGAAUCCCUUGGAAACUUGGGAGUGCCUUCGGGAGCGCAGUGACAGGUGGUGCAUGGCUGUCGUCAGCUCGUGUCGUGAGAUGUUGGGUUAAGUCCCGCAACGAGCGCAACCCACGUCUUUAGUUGCCAGCAUUUAGUUGGGCACUCUAGAGAGACCGCCGGUGAUAAACCGGAGGAAGGUGUGGAUGACGUCAAGUCAUCAUGCCCCUUACAUCCUGGGCUACACACGUACUACAAUGCUACGGACAAAGGGCAGCAAACUCGCGAGAGCUAGCCAAUCCCAUAAACCGUGGCUCAGUUCAGAUCGUAGGCUGCAACUCGCCUACGUGAAGGAGGAAUCGCUAGUAAUCGCAGGUCAGCAUACUGCGGUGAAUACGUUCCCGGGCUUGUACACACCGCCCGUCACACCAUGGAAGUUGGCCACGCCCGAAGUCGUUACUCCAACCCUUGUGGAGGAGGAUGCCGAAGGUGGGGCUGAUGACUGGGGUGAAGUCGUAACAAGGUAGCCGUACCGGAAGGUGCGGCUGGAUCACCUCCUA
rnacentral:rRNA from 1 species